rnacentral:tRNA from 2 species
GCCGACGUAGCUCAGGGGUAGAGCGGCGGUUUUGUAAACCGCGGGUCGGGGGUUCAAAUCCCUCCGUCGGCU